UGGUGAUGCAAAUUUUUCAGAUCCAUGGC
rnacentral:piRNA from 1 species